rnacentral:rRNA from 1 species
UGGGGAAUAUUGCACAAUGGGCGCAAGCCUGAUGCAGCCAUGCCGCGUGUGUGAAGAAGGCCUUCGGGUUGUAAAGCACUUUCAGCGAGGAGGAAGGUGGUGAACUUAAUACGUUCAUCAAUUGACGUUACUCGCAGAAGAAGCACCGGCUAACUCCGUGCCAGCAGCCGCGGUAAUACGGAGGGUGCAAGCGUUAAUCGGAAUUACUGGGCGUAAAAGCGCACGCAGGCGGUUUGUUAAGUCAGAUGUGAAAUCCCCGGGCUCAACCUGGGAACUGCAUUUGAAACUGGCAAGCUAGAGUCUCGUAGAGGGGGGUAGAAUUCCAGGUGUAGCGGUGAAAUGCGUAGAGAUCUGGAGGAAUACCGGUGGCGAAGGCGGCCCCCUGGACGAAGACUGACGCUCAGGUGCGAAAAGCGUGGGGAGCAAAACAGGAUUAGAUACCCUGGUAGUCCACGCUGUAAAACGAUGUCGAUUUUGGAGGUUGUGCCCUUGAGGCGUGGCUUCCGGAGCUAACGCGUUAAAUCGACCGCCUGGGGAGUACGGCCGC